UCGCAGUAGCAAAUGUGACAAAUGUCAUCGAAAGUUAAUGUGGGCAGUAAGAUCCAUCAACCUUUUCUCAUUUUACAUCGAGCAGCAAUUGUGAAAACAUCAAAAAUAAAUUUAAAAAACUUAAAUUAAAACUGGUGAAGUGAAAAAGUAAAGUGAAGAAAAAAUAUUUCAGAAAACUUGAACUAAAAGUGGUGUAGUGAAAAAGUAAAAAAAAAAGAAAGAAAUGAUUGUUGUUGGCGACAGCAAAAUUCUAAAUGAAAACUUCAAAAUGUGCGUAUGAAAAAAAUUUUUAAUUCGUGUCGCAGUAGCAAAUGUGACAAAUGUCAUCGAAAGUUAAUGUGGGCAGUAGGCUCCAUGAACCUUUUCUCAUUUUACAUCGAGCAGCAAUUGUGAAAACAUCAAAAAAAAUAUAAUUUAAAAAUUCUAAAUUAAAACUGGUGAAGUGAGAAAGUUGAGUGAAGAAAAAAUAAUUCAGAAAACUUGAACUAAAAGUGGUGAAGUGAAAAAGUAAAAAAAAAAAGAAAGAAAUGAUUGUUGUUGGCGAUAGCAAAAUUCUAAAUGAAAACUUCAAAAUGUGCGUAUGAAAAAAAUUUUUAAUUCGUGUCGCAGUAGCAAAUGUGACAAAUGUCAUCGAAAGUUAAUGUGGGCAGUAGGCUCCAUGAACCUUUUCUCAUUUUACAUCGAGCAGCAAUUGUGAAAACAUCAAAAAUAAAUUGAAAAAUUAAAAAAACCUAAAUUAAAACUGGUGAAGUGAAGAAAAAAUAAUUUAGAAAACUUGAACUAAAAGUGGUGAAGUGAAAAAGUAAAAAAAAAGAAAGAAAUGAUUGUUGUUGCCGACGUCAAAUUUCUAAAUGAAAACUUCAAAAUGUGCGUAUGAAAAAAAUUUUUAAUUCGUGUCGCAGUAGCAAAUGUGACAAAUGUCAUCGAAAGUUAAUGUGGGCAGUAGGCUCCAUCAACCUUUUCUCAUUUUACAUCGAGCAGCAGUAGUGAAAACAUCAAAAAUAAAUUUAAAAAACUUAAAUUAAAACUGGUGAAGUGAAAAAGUUGAGUGAAGAAAAAAUAAUUCAGAAAACUUGAACUAAAAGUGGAGAAGUGAAAAAGUAAAGUGAAGAAAAAAAAUUGUAGCAUGUGGAAAUAUACCGCUGGAGCCGCGUGAAGAAUCGUACGUGAGCUGAUACCUCGGACGGACUGAGGUAUCGUGCGUCCUCCGGUUGUAGCACCCCCGAAUCGUCCAGGACGCCGUGCUUCAUCGGAUAAGUCGGAUACGUUCGAAAAAACCAAAGCGGCGUGGACGACUCGCCACCAAAAAGCAUGCGCAGCCGCCGCCAAAAGCUGCUGCAGCAAAUGAAUAUGCAAAGGUGACAGCAACAUCUUUGGCAACAUCUUUGGCAACAUCUACAGCAACAUCUUUGGGAACAUCUUUGGCAACAUCUACAGCAACAUCUUUGGCAACAUCUACAGCAACAUUUACAGCAAUAUUUUUGGCAACAUUUACAGCAAUAUUUUCGGCAACAUCUACAGCAACAUUUUGGCAGCAUCUUUUGCAACAUCUACAGCAACAUCUUUUGCAACAUCUUUGGCAACAUCUACAGCAACAUGUAUUGGAACAUAUAUAGCAACAUUUAACGCAACCUUUUACGCAACAUCUAACGCAACAUCAGCCCACAUUUAUGUACCUAACCUCAAUGCAAAUUUUGCUGUUGCACCACAACCUCGUGGAGCACUCCUACCCAUGUUGCGUGCAGCAACAUCGCAGAACUUAUAGCGCAAUCGUGGCGUAUCUGCCGCACUAGUUGGCGCACCAAGAUUAGGCGCCGCAGCAGCAAAUGCAACACAGAAAUCGGUCGCAACAACAGCCAAUGGCACACCGAGAGUGCGACCAACAACAUCUUGUGCAACAUUUGGCAGAUGACAAUCCAUUGGUCCAUCGGGACAUCAGAUGAUGCCAAGCUCAAGGAUGCCAGCAUAUGUCCCGCAACAGCAGCAGCAGGGCAUCAGGCGGAAACUGGAUGCGACUAUGCCAGCUGGCGAAACAACAGCGGAUAUGGUGCCUAGAGCAGAUAAUAAUCCAAUGGAUGUGGGGACGGUGAGAAAGAAGUUGGACAACUAUGAAUAUCGCACCGCAUUGGAUUUUGCAGACGAUAUCCGUUUGAUAUUCUCAAAUUGCUUCAAAUACAAACAACAAUCCCAAGCAACUUCCCAUUGUUGGCGACGCACAUAAGUUGCAGACCAUGCAUGAUGCCACCCUCCAAUUUUAGGAACAUGAUUCGAGCGCCACAAAUGAUUCGAGAUGCGGUGCCGAACGGAAUCCCUGUUCCAAGACCUUAAGGCUAUGACAGUGAGAUCAGCAACAGCCACAGUCGAAUGGUCAGUCCUUAUCCAUAGGGUCAACAGCGCAGCAGCGAAAUCAGCAACACUAACAACAUCAAUGGCAGUAACAGUGGAAUACUUGGUCCAUAUAUACAAAGUGGUUACAGAGCUCAGAGCAGUGACGCCAGUAAACAUCAGCAGCGAUUCUGAAAAUCAAAAUGAACGCAAAAGGCUGGUCAAAGCCAAGCUAAAGAUGCUGACGUACACAAAUCUGAAGCAAGAGGGCCAGAAGGUAUCGCAAAGCACAAAAAGAAGCAGUUACAAGAAGCUGGAGUUGCAGCAUCGGCAGCAACCACUCAGUAUAUAUAUUCUUGAUCAGCCAAAACGAUCUAGCCAUGUCCGUCUGUCCGUCUGUUCCUAUGAACACCUAGGUCUCAGAGACUAUGAGAGAUAGAGCUAUAAUUUUUUUCGUGGUAUAUUUGCACGCAGAUCAACUUUGUUUAAAAUGUUUGCCACGCCCACUUCCGCCCCCGCAAAUCUACAAAAAUCGAAUAAUUUUAAAGCUAGAGCUGCGCAUUUUGGUGUAUAAAAUAAUAACUAUAAUAUUUAUGAUUUCUAAUUUGAUUGCGAUCAGAUAAAAUUUGUAGAAUUUAUUGCAGAAAUACUUUUAUAUGCGCAAAAACGAGGCGAAUUCGCUCAGAGAAAGCUUUAUUGAGCUUCGCCCUAAUUCUAAGAACUUAAUUUUAACAACCUCAUUCAACAUUGAUGCUCUUAAACUUAUUUAACCAACUGCCCCAACAGCUAGAAUCGCGAUUUUUGGUACACACAUUAUUAACUAUAGUAUUUAAAAUUUGUGAAUACUUGGUUGCCAUCACACAAGAAUUUUAAAAGUCAUUUAGGAAAUUGUUUUGUAUGGGCAAAACGUAUACUUAGUAGCUUUCGCUAACAAUCUGGUAUAUUUUGCACGCUGUGGUAUAUUUAAAAUGUAGUACUGUAUUAAUAUACCUAAACUAACAUUUGGAAUAUUUUUAAUACUUGGAGAUAAUUGUAUAUUUUAAAAUGAACACCGCAUAAAUGCAAACCAUUUAUUUGAAAUGGGUAGCGGGUAACUCACAGUGGAGCACAUUCUACUAUAGCUUAUUUACUUGUUGCCAUACAAAAGUGUCUCUCAAAUAAAUUUUCCACUCUUAUUUGAUGACAACCACAUUU